rnacentral:rRNA from 1 species
GAUGAACGCUGGCGGCGUGCCUAAUACAUGCAAGUCGAGCGAACGGACGAGAAGCUUGCUUCUCUGGUGUUAGCGGCGGACGGGUGAGUAACACGUGGAUAACCUACCUAUAAGACUGGGAUAACUUCGGGAAACCGGAGCUAAUACCGGAUAAUAUUUUGAACCGCAUGGUUCAAAAGUGAAAGACGGUCUUGCUGUCACUUAUAGAUGGAUCCGCGCUGCAUUAGCUAGUUGGUAAGGUAACGGCUUACCAAGGCAACGAUGCAUAGCCGACCUGAGAGGGUGAUCGGCCACACUGGAACUGAGACACGGUCCAGACUCCUACGGGAGGCAGAAGUAGGGAAUCUUCCGCAAUGGGCGAAAGCCUGACGGAGCAACGCCGCGUGAGUGAUGAAGGUCUUCGGAUCGUAAAACUCUGUUAUUAGGGAAGAACAUAUGUGUAAGUAACUGUGCACAUCUUGACGGUACCUAAGCAGAAAGCCACGGCUAACUACGU